UCAGCUAAUACUCAAUCUGAUGCGAUAUGCCCCUCUGUUCGCAGCGUCUUGUGUAGAUAUUGGACGUUUUUACACAUGAAUAUUGUUUGUGUAAUGCAGUCAUAAUAUUUAUGCAGGGACGCAGGAGGAGUGAACACCGAACUGCCGAACUCUGAGCACAGAAACUCGGACUGGGACUUGAGAUCGACUCCUGCGGGCAGUUUUUUUUUAACCAUCGAAUGAUCCAAGAAUUAAAAGAUACAGGCUCAUCAUGACUGCAUUCUUUCCAUUUUGCUGAAGAGCAGUGGCAGAGAAGGCUGGAGUGGGCAGGCGUGCGGCUUUGGCCACAGGAAGCUGUGAAUUCUUUGGAGAAUGGAAGAUGUCUUAUGGGGAGACAUACUGGCCCCCCACCCACCCACUCACCACCUCAAAGUGACCCCUGACCCCUUCAUGUGUUUAUAUCAGACCAUGGAAGUGAGAAAUAGUGACGAGUCACUCUGGCUGUGUGUUUACACUCUGGAGUCACGCAAGGAAGGAAAUCAGCCACGGUCUGCUAAAAGUGGCGAGGUGACAGAGAAUAGCUGCAGUCCCCGAGAGCUGCAGUGAUUUACCUCUCAGAACCAGAAUGUAUUUUACAUCAUCUCCGCUGCAAAGACUUUCGACCAACAGAAAACAGCAGCAUUAGCAGGGCUGUGGGCUGUUGUCGAGGAAAACCCAACUCUGAUCGCAGCAAAAUAUAGUUACUGAGGAUGUAUACACACAUAUAGUAUGUGUGUGCAUCUACCUUUGCCAUGCUCUUUAUUUGAACAGAUGUAGCAGAUAUUAUAGGCAGGAUAAUUCAUCAGGAAAAUUAUGUGUAUAUAGAAGUUUAAAGAAUUCUUGAUAUAUUGAUUGCUUUCUAAUCUUGGCAGGUAAAAGCACACAUUCACUAUCGCAGAAUGAGAACUUGUUUCUUCACACGACCAAUGUUUUUCUAACAAAAACAGCUCUCAGCUUAAUGACAAUACGUUUCACUGUGGAAUUUGUCUUGAAACUAUUUCAGAAGACUUCUCUGCUACAAAUCUACAAACUGCUUUACUUAAAUGGAAAUCACUAAAAUAAAUGUUACAAGGUUUUCACUGAACACCGAGCAACGAAGUGCAUGCAACUCUUGCUUUGUUUAAGUAAAUGUACAAAAAUAGCAGCAGUAAAGCCAUGUGCUGCUUCUGAUUAUAGUGU